GGCUACAAGGAACUAAGGAGCGGCACUUGGAGAGGAAGGGUGCCAAAAUCCAAAAAGGAAUUUGGCAUGCAGCCACUCCACUGACACAACAAUCUCGUUACGUGACGCCGCGUAGAUGCCCAUUGCAGCGGUGGCCACUGACACCGACGACAAUGUGGCAUUGCAGCAAGCGACCCCGAAGCUGGCGAGGCUCGCAGCAGACCUCUGUUGUGCACGCCCAUCCGACCCUACCCGACGGUGUUCCCUGAGCCAUGGUGAGAUGUGGAGUAAGAGGAGACACCAGACCAGCUCGCACUGCAGUUGGCAUGGUUAACAUUACAAUCUUGGAAAGUGAUCCCCUCUAUAGACGAAGGAUUUAUGGACGUACGAAGGUACUACAGAAUGUGGCAUAGAUUAUCUAGAAAAUGGACUGCUUCCUCCUGAUGCCCAAUCAUGGUGUCAGGCUUCAUUUGAUCCUAAACAACUGCUUUGAUCAGUAAUUUAUCUACUCUUCAUCACUGCCUGCAAUUUUGAUCAUUGACUAUAGUUUGUAAAUCAACUUGAAUUUAACUUGGUAAGUUUUAACUGUCUAUUUUUUUGCUUAUCGGCUAUGUAUGGAGGUUGUCACAUGUUUGAUUGGACUUCAAUUUGGACAUGUAGUCCUACAUCUCGAGGUAUAAGAUUGUUGUUUGUUUCUAUAUUUUAACAUUUCUUCUUAUGGCGUAGAAACUGUAUUCUAUUUCCCCCUUUUUGGGCUAACUUGUGUGUAGAAGCUCAAAGGAAGAAUUAUCGACUGGCUAAUCUCUUCUUUCAACCUGUUAGAACUUACAUUUUUCCUGCUUAAAGUAUUACAUGAAUACACUAGAUAAUCACUGGAGCUUGCAGAGUUGACGCAGUAUAACAGAUUAGCCUGAUGCUAAAAGAUGUAGUCAUGCAGACCUCGCCAAUGAGUGAAUGUUGGAUUAGGUCCUGAUCAUCCGGAUGUUGCGGCAACUCUUAUAAAUGUGGCAAUGAUGUACCAGGAUGCGAGCAAUAUGAGUACUGCUCUUAGGUAUCUUCAGGAAGCAUUUAAGAAGAAUGAGUGCCUUUUAGGCCCAGGUCAUAUUCAAACAACAGUUCGCUAUCAUGCUCUCGCCAUUGCAUUUAGCUGUAUGGGUGCAUACAAGCUUUCAGUUUAGGUUAGUUCUGACGAAAAAAUGGCGGAAUAACAUUGUGACACAUUUUACUGACUUCAUGAUUUUGGUGGCAGCAUGAAACCAAGGCGCAUGAUAUACUGGUAAAACAGUUAGGGAGUGAUGAUUCACAAACAAAAUAUUCAAAAAUUAGUUGAAUAUAUUUAAGGGGCAAGAACAGCAAGUAUGUGCUGAAAAAUUAUUUCACACGGUUGAUUCACUCUUGGUUCAGGGAUUCUUGCACAUUCCCAAAGUAGCAACUUCAAGUUAUAGGUAGGAGAAAGUUGCACUUAAUGGAUUCAGAUCAUGCGCAUUACAUUUUUUCAUAGGGGCAUAUGUUUUUUUCGUGAAUACGCAAAGCUUGUGUAUCAUUCCAUUAAUAGAAAAUAGAAUGAGUACAGUCGAGGGUACAACACAUGACAUGAACGUGCAAAGGCAUGAACAUGGAACCCGGAGCAGAGAGACAAGGGAUGCUCAGCCCGAACAUGGAAAAUACACAACUAAACCCACCAAUCCUAGAACUAGGGAGGCAGACCAAACAAGCAUGACAUCGUGCAUCUCCAAAUCCAACACUGGGGACGCCGCAAGCAAGCAAGAUAGCGCCUUCAAGAAGGAGAACGACGUUGCGAAGCCGCCACCAUCCGAUCUGGAGAACUGGACCUAGGGUUUCCCACAAUGCUCGAAAAGAUGUUUAUUGGAUCUCAAGUUUAUUCAAAGUGGGCCACGAGAACUUUAUGAAUCUGCUUGGCUAUUGGUGAAGAACAAAAUCCUUUCAUCAGAGGUAUGAUGUUUGAAUAAGGUCAAAAUAGGGCUCUCUUCGAGCAUCUCCAUUGUAGGUGUGUACUGAUUCUAUUAAUU